GACGAACGCUGGCGGCGGGCUUAACACAUGCAAGUCGAACGGAAAGGCCCUGCUUUUGUGGGGUGCUCGAGUGGCGAACGGGUGAGUAACACGUGAGUAACCUGCCCUUGACUUUGGGAUAACUUCAGGAAACUGGGGCUAAUACCGGAUAGGAGCUCCUGCUGCAUGGUGGGGGUUGGAAAGUUUCGGCGGUUGGGGAUGGACUCGCGGCUUAUCAGCUUGUUGGUGGGGGAGUGGCUUACCAAGGCUUUGGCGGAUCGCCGGCCUGAGAGGGUGACCGGCGACAUUGGGACUGAGAUACGGCCCAGACUCCUACGGGAGGCAGCAGUGGGGAAUAUGGCACAAUGGGCGGAAGCCUGAUGCGGAAACGCCGCGUGCGGGAUGACGGCCUUCGGGUUGUAAACCGCUUUCGCCUGUGACGAAGCGUGAGUGACGGUAAUGGGUAAAGAAGCACCGGCUAACUACGUG
rnacentral:rRNA from 1 species